AGUAACGCGUGGGUAACCUGCCUCAUACAGGGGGAUAACAGUUAGAAAUGACUGCUAAUACCGCAUAAGCGCACAGUGCUGCAUGGCACAGUGUGAAAAACUCCGGUGGUAUGAGAUGGACCCGCGUCUGAUGAGCUAGUUGGUGGGGUAACGGCCUACCAAGGCGACGAUCAGUAGCCGGCCUGAGAGGGUGAACGGCCACAUUGGGACUGAGACACGGCCCAAACUCCUACGGGAGGCAGCAUG
rnacentral:rRNA from 1 species